AGUUUGAUCAUGGCUCAGAUUGAACGCUGGCGGGAUGCUUUACACAUGCAAGUCGAACGGCAGCACGGACUUCGGUCUGGUGGCGAGCGGCGAACGGGUGAGUAAUGUAUCGGAACGUGCCUAGUAGCGGGGAUAACUACGCGAAAGCGUAGCUAAUACCGCAUACGCCCUUCGGGGGAAAGCGGGGACCUUCGGGCUCUCGCACCAUUAGAGCGGCCGAUAUCGAUUAGCUAGUUGGUGGGGUAACGGUCACUGGCGGCGACGAUCCGUAGCUGGUUUGAGAGGACGACCAGCCACACUGGGACUGAGACACGGCCCAGACUCCUACGGGAGGCAGCAGUGGGGAAUUCUGAUACCGGGAAACCCUGAUCCAGCCAUCUCAUGUGUGCGAUGAAGGCCUUCGGGGUUGUAAAGCACUUUUGGCAGGGAAAGAAACGGCACGAUAAUACCCCGCAACUGACGGUACCUGCAGAAUAAGCACCGGCUAACUACGCUGCAGCCGCGGUAAUACGUAGGCGUAAGCGUUAAUCGGAAAUUACUGGGCGCAAAGGUGCGCAGGCGGUUCGGAAAGAAAGAUGUGAAAUCCCAGAGCUUAACUUUGAACUGCAUUUUUAACUACCGAGCUGAGUGUGUCAGAGGGAGGUGGAAUUCCGCGUGUAGCAGUGAAAUGCGUAGAUAUGCGGAGGAACACCGAUGGCGAAGGCAGCCUCCUGGGAUAACACUGACGCUCAUGCACGAAAGCGUGGGGAGCAAACAGAUUAGAUACCCUGGUAGUCCACGCCCUAAACGAUGUCAACUAGCUGUUGGGGCCUUCGGGCCUUGGUAGCGCAGCUAACGCGUGAAGUUGACCGCCUGGGAGUACGGUCGCAAGAUUAAACUCGUGCUGAAUUGACGGGGACCCGCGUACAAGCGGUGGAUGAUGGGAUUUAAUCAAGACCAACGCGAAAAACCUUACUCACUCCUUUGAUACGUCUGGAAUCCCGAAGAGAUUUUGGAAGUGCUGCUCGCAAAGAGAACCGGAACACAGAAAGGCUGUCGUCAGUCGGGUGUCGUGAGACGUUGGGCCAAGUCCCAACGAGCGUCCUCAUUAGUUGCUACGAAAGCGGCACUUAUUGUCCGCUGGUGAUAAAACUGGAGGAAGGUGGGGGUGACGUCAAGUCCUCAUGGCCCUAUAUCAGAAGCUCACACGUCACACAAUGGUUGGACAGAGCGAUGGCUUCAACCCAGCAGGUCAAUCCCAGAAACCGAUCGUAUCCGGAUCGCAGUCUGCAACUCGACUGCGAAGUCGGAAUCGCUAGUAAUCGCGGAUCAGCAUGUCGCGGUGAAUACGUUCCCGGGUCUUGUACACACCGCCCGUCACACCAUGGGAGUGGGUUUUACUCAAGUAGUUAGCCUAACCGUAAGGAGGGCGAUUACCACGGUAGGAUUCAUGACUGGGGUGAAGUCAACAAGGCA
rnacentral:rRNA from 1 species